CACGUAGGGUGCGAGCGUUGUCCGGAAUUAUUGGGCGUAAAGAGCUCGUAGGCGGUGUGUCGCGUCGGCCGUGAAAACUUGGGGCUUAACUCUGAGCGUGCGGUCGAUACGGGCAUCACUGGAGUUCGGCAGGGGAGACUGGAAUUCCUGGUGUAGCGGUGAAAUGCGCAGAUAUCAGGAGGAACACCGAUGGCGAAGGCAGGUCACUGGGCCGCAACUGACGUUGAGGAGCGAAAGCAUGGGGAGCGAACAGG
rnacentral:rRNA from 1 species